GAUGAACGCUGGCGGCGUGCUUAACACAUGCAAGUCGAACGAUGAAGCCCAGCUUGCUGGGUGGAUUAGUGGCGAACGGGUGAGUAACACGUGAGUAACCUGCCCUUAACACUGGGAUAAGCCUGGGGAACUGGGUCUAAUACCGGAGAGGAGCGUCCACCGCAUGGGGGGUGUUGGAAAGAUUUAUGGGCUGUGGAUGGACUCGCGGCCUAUCAGCUUGUUGGUGAGGUAAUGGCUCACCAAGGCGACGACGGGUAGCCGGCCUGAGAGGGUGACCGGCCACACUGGGACUGAGACACGGCCCAGACUCCUACGGGAGGCAGCAGUGGGGAAUAUUGCACAAUGGGCGGAAGCCUGAUGCAGCGACGCCGCGUGAGGGAUGACGGCCUUCGGGUUGUAAACCUCUUUCAGGAGGGAAGAAGCGAGAGUGACGGUACCUGCAGAAGAAGCGCCGGCUAACUACGUG
rnacentral:rRNA from 1 species